CCUACGGGGGGCUGCAGUGGGGAAUAUUGCGCAAUGGGCGAAAGCCUGACGCAGCGACGCCGCGUGAGGGAUGAAGGUCUUCGGAUCGUAAACCUCUGUCAGCAGGGAAGAACGGUCACUGUGCUAAUCAGCAGUGAAUUGACGGUACCUGCAAAGGAAGCACCGGCUAACUCCGUGCCAGCAGCCGGGGUAAUACGGAGGGUGCGAGCGGUAAUCGGAAUUACUGGGCGGAAAGCGCUCGUAGGCGGUAUGUCAAGGCAAGGGUGAAAUCCCCGCGCUCAACGUGGGAACUGCCUUUGAAGCUGGCAACCUGGAGUGUGUGAGAGGAUGGUGGAAUUCCAGGUGUAGGAGUGAAAUCCGUAGAUAUCUGGAGGAACAUCAGUGGCGAAGGCGACUAUCUGGCACAUAACUGACGCUGAGGAGCGAAAGCGUGGGGAGCAAACAGGAUUAGAUACCCCAGUAGUC
rnacentral:rRNA from 1 species